rnacentral:rRNA from 1 species
GGAGCUUGCUCCUCUGAUUUAGCGGCGGACGGGUGAGUAACACGUGGGUAAUCUGCCUGUAAGACGGGGAUAACUCCGGGAAACCGGGGCUAAUACCGGAUAACAAGAGAAGAAGCAUUUCUUCUUUUUGAAAGUCGGUUUCGGCUGACACUUACAGAUGAGCCCGCGGCGCAUUAGCUAGUUGGUGAGGUAACGGCUCACCAAGGCGACGAUGCGUAGCCGACCUGAGAGGGUGAUCGGCCACACUGGGACUGAGACACGGCCCAGACUCCUACGGGAGGCAGCAGUAGGGAAUCUUCGGCAAUGGGCGAAAGCCUGACCGAGCAACGCCGCGUGAGCGAUGAAGGCCUUCGGGUCGUAAAGCUCUGUUGUUAGAGAAGAACAAGUACGAGAGUAACUGCUCGUACCUUGACGGUACCUAACCAGAAAGCCACGGCUAACUACGUGCCAGCAGCCGCGGUAAUACGUAGGUGGCAAGCGUUAUCCGGAAUUAUUGGGCGUAAAGCGCGCGCAGGCGGUCUCUUAAGUCUGAUGUGAAAGCCCACGGCUCAACCGUGGAGGGUCAUUGGAAACUGGGAGACUUGAGUGCAGGAGAGAAAAGUGGAAUUCCACGUGUAGCGGUGAAAUGCGUAGAGAUGUGGAGGAACACCAGUGGCGAAGGCGGCUUUUUUGGCCUGUAACUGACGCUGAGGCGC